GCACAAUGGGCGCAAGCUUGAUCCAGCCAUGCCGCGUGAAUGAAGAAGGCCUUCGGGUUGUAAAGUACUUUCAGCGAGGAGGAAGGCAUUGUGGUUAAUAACCGCAGUGAUUGACGUUACUCGCAGAAGAAGCACUGGCUAACUCCGUGCCAGCAGCCGCGGUAAUACGGCGGGUGCAAGCGUUAAUCGGACUUACUGGGCGUACAGCGCACGCAGGCGGUCUGUCAAGUCGGAUGUGAAAUCCCCGGGCUCAACCUGGGAACUGCAUUCGAAACUGGAAGGCUAGAGUCUUGUAGAGGGGGGUAGAAUUCCAGGUGUAGCGGUGAAAUGCGUAGAGAUCUGGAGGAAUACCGGUGGCGAAGGCGGCCCCCUGGACAAAGACUGACGCUCAGGUGCGAAAGCGUGGGGAGCAAACAGG
rnacentral:rRNA from 1 species